CGGAGGAUCCAAGCGUUAUCCGGAUUUAUUGGGUUUAAAGGGUGCGUAGGUGGCUUUUUAAGUCAGGGGUGAAAGACGGUAGCUUAACUAUCGCAGUGCCUUUGAUACUGAAGAGCUUGAAUGAACUAGAGGUAGGCGGAAUGUGACAAGUAGCGGUGAAAUGCAUAGAUAUGUCACAGAACACCAAUUGCGAAGGCAGCUUACUAUGGUUAAAUUGACACUGAGGCACGAAAGCGUGGGAAUCAAACAGGAUUAGAUACCCUGGUAGUCCACGCCCUAAACGAUGAAUACUCGAUGUUGGCGAUAUACGGUCAGCGUCUAAGCGAAAGCGUUAAGUAUUCCACCUGGGGAGUACGCCCGCAAGGGUG
rnacentral:rRNA from 1 species